GAUGAACGCUGACAGAAUGCUUAACACAUGCAAGUCUUUGGCGAAGCUGUGCUUGCACAGCCUAGCCAAGGCGGACGGGUGAGUAACGCGUAAGGAACUUGCCCUGCAGUCAGGGAUAACAGACGGAAACGACUGAUAAGACCUGGUAAAGUCAGGCGGACUCAUGUCCAGCCUGAUGAAAAGUGAUGCUGCAGGAGAGCCUUGCGUCCUAUUAGCUUGUUGGUGGGGUAACGGCCCACCAAGGCGAUGAUAGGUAGCCGGCCUGAGAGGGUGGACGGCCACAAGGGGACUGAGAUCCGCCCCUUACUCCUACGGGAGGCAGCAGUGGGGAAUAUUGGACAAGGGGGGCAACCCUGAUCCAGCAAUUCUGUGUGCACGAUGAAGGUUUUCGGAUUGUAAAGUGCUUUCAGCAGGGAAGAAAAAAAUGACGGUACCUGCAGAAGAAGCGACGGCUAAAUACGUG
rnacentral:rRNA from 1 species